GCCCGCCUCUCCAGCAACCUGACACCUGCGCCGCGCCCCUUCACUGCGUUCCCCGCCCCUGCAGCGGCCACAGUGGUGCGGCCGGCGGCCGAGAGUUCUGAGUCACCCGGGACUGGAGGUAGGAACCCAGCCAUGGUGAACGAAGCCAGAGGAAACAGCAGCCUCAACCCCUGCUUGGAGGGCAGUGCCAGCAGUGGCAGUGAGAGCUCCAAAGAUAGUUCGAGAUGUUCCACCCCGGGCCUGGACCCCGAGCGGCAUGAGAGACUCCGGGAGAAGAUGAGGCGGCGAUUGGAAUCUGGUGACAAGUGGUUCUCCCUGGAAUUCUUCCCUCCUCGAACUGCUGAGGGAGCUGUCAAUCUCAUCUCAAGGUUUGACCGGAUGGCAGCAGGCGGCCCCCUCUACAUAGACGUGACCUGGCACCCAGCAGGUGACCCUGGCUCAGACAAGGAGACCUCCUCCAUGAUGAUCGCCAGCACCGCCGUGAACUACUGUGGCCUGGAGACCAUCCUGCACAUGACCUGCUGCCGUCAGCGCCUGGAGGAGAUCACGGGCCACCUGCACAAAGCUAAGCAGCUGGGCCUGAAGAACAUCAUGGCGCUGCGGGGAGGUGUGGAGCCAGCACUCCCCUACACUCUGGGUUCUGGCUUUCCCGGCGGCCACUUGGUAGCCUGAACUUGGUUCCUGAAAUGGUCCUUUACUUCUUCCUGGGCCCCACGCUGAGGAUCCGCAGGAUCCCAUCCCCGCCGGUAUUGUCAGUAGGCAUUGUGGGUAGUGAGUCAUCCUGGGCACCACACACAGGCAGCCACCUCUCCCACCUCUUGACCCCGACAUAGGAGUUCCGUCGGGAUUGCAGUCGCGGCCUGAUAACCCUCUGCCUUGCCUACACCACUGCAUUGAUUGCUGGCUGCACCCAGCACUUGGCCCAAUCACAGAGCAACAGAGUAUCCAGGAGUGAGAAUAGCCGGUUAGGCCUCUGGUGCCUGCUGUUGUCAGGCCACCUAAGAGUGGGAAGAGGGAGCCUGAUGGGUGGGAUCCUAUGGCCUCAUGCUCCCCACCACAAGACCCCUUCACUUGAGAUGAGUAGAAAAUUCUCCCAGGAGGCAGGAGCCCCAAGGCCGUGGGAUGGGAGAGGGUGGCAGGCGUGCCCAGGUAGAAGUAGGGAAGGGCUCUCCAAUCCUCCAGGCACAGUGAGGAGCAGCGGUGGUCUCCUAUUCUCCACCGCCAGCACAGGGUCAGCAUGCAGUGAAUAUUGAACUGGUGGGCUGCUUUUUUCCCUCCUGCUGUCUUACCAAGUGCUAGAAAGAGACGAACCAAACCUAAAUAAUAUGAAGUUUCUGCCUUCCAGGGACUCGCAGUCCUGGGUGUCGGGGCUAGGUAGAGGGAACAGAAAGGGUCUCUGGAGGUUGGGUGAGACCCAGUGACUAUGACCUCCACCAACCCUGCAGACCCAAUAGGUGACCAGUGGGAAGAGGAGGAGGGAGGCUUCAACUACGCAGUGGACCUGGUGAAGCACAUCCGAAGUGAGUUUGGUGACUACUUUGACAUCUGUGUGGCAGGUGAGUGGCUGGAUCAUCCUGGUGGCGGGGAUGGAGCUAGGGAGGCUGAGAUGCCCAGAGAGCCUGUCGGUGUUCGGUUCAGGACACAGUGAUCAGGGGCACUCAUGGGUCCAUGCUGGAUGAAGGACAUGCAGAGGUGAACUGCACCGUGUCCUUGCUCCUUUUGUAUCACCCACUCCCCUCCUGGGCCUGCCACCAUCGACCCCUAGCUUUUUGUUCCUCUGCCUGGCCGUGCCCUUAGCCUGCUUGGCCUUAUUCUUUUCUUUAAAACGAAAGAGGGGUCUGGGCGCGGUGGCUCAUGCCUGUAACCCCAACACUUUGGGAGGCCGAGGCAGGCAGAUCACCUGAGGUCAGG
rnacentral:sRNA from 1 species